rnacentral:rRNA from 1 species
CUACGGGUGGCAGCAGUGGGGAAUAUUGCACAAUGGAGGAAACUCUGAUGCAGCAACGCCGCGUGGAGGAUGACACAUUUCGGUGCGUAAACUCCUUUUAUAGGUCAAGAUAAUGACGGUAGCCUAUGAAUAAGCGCCGGCUAACUCCGUGCCAGCAGCCGCGGUAAUACGGAGGGCGCAAGCGUUACUCGGAAUCACUGGGCGUAAAGAGCGUGUAGGCGGAUUAAAAAGUCAGAAGUGAAAUCCUAUAGCUUAACUAUAGAACUGCUUCUGAAACUCUUAAUCUAGAAUAUGGGAGAGGUAGAUGGAAUUUCUGGUGUAGGGGUAAAAUCCGUAGAGAUCAGAAGGAAUACCGAUUGCGAAGGCGAUCUACUAGAACAUUAUUGACGCUGAGACGCGAAAGCGUGGGGAGCAAACAGGAUUAGAUACCCCAGUAGUC